UACGUAGGGUGCAGGCGUUAAUCGGAAUUACUGGGCGUAAAGCGUGCGCAGGCGGUUUGCUAAGACAGGUGUGAAAUCCCCGGGCUUAACCUGGGAACUGCGCUUGUAACUGGCAAGCUAGAGUGUGGCAGAGGGGGGUGGAAUUCCACGUGUAGCAGUGAAAUGCGUAGAGAUGUGGAGGAACACCGAUGGCGAAGGCAGCCCCCUGGGCUAACACUGGACGCUCAUGCACGAAAGCGUGGGGAGCAAACAGGAUUA
rnacentral:rRNA from 1 species